GUACCGUAAUCCGGUGCGGGGACAGUGUCAGGUGGGCAGUUUGACUGGGGCGGUCGCCUCCUAAAGAGUAACGGAGGCGCCCAAAGGUUCCCUCAGAAUGGUUGGAAAUCAUUCGAAGAGUGCAAAGGCAUAAGGGAGCUUGACUGCGAGACCUACAAGUCGAGCAGGGACGAAAGUCGGGCUUAGUGAUCCGGUGGUACCGCAUGGAAGGGCCAUCGCUCAACGGAUAAAAGCUACCCUGGGGAUAACAGGCUUAUCUCCCCCAAGAGUCCACAUCGACGGGGAGGUUUGGCACCUCGAUGUCGGCUCAUCGCAUCCUGGGGCUGAAGUAGGUCCCAAGGGUUGGGCUGUUCGCCCAUUAAAGCGGUACGCGAGCUGGGUUCAGAACGUCGUGAGACAGUUCGGUCCCUAUCUGUCGUGGGCGUAGGAAAUUUGAGAGGAGCUGUCCUUAGUACGAGAGGACCGGGAUGGACGUACCGCUGGUGUACCAGUUGUUCCGCCAGGAGCACCGCUGGGUAGCUAUGUACGGAAGGGAUAAACGCUGAAAGCAUCUAAGCGUGAAGCCCCCCUCAAGAUGAGAUUUCCCAGUAUGUAAGACCCCUUGAAGACGACGAGGUAGAUAGGCUGGGGGUGGAAGUGCAGCAAUGCAUGGAGCUGACCAGUACUAAUCGGUCGAGGGCUUAUCCAAU
rnacentral:rRNA from 1 species